UACGUAGGGGGCGAGCGUUGUCCGGAUUUAUUGGGCGUAAAGAGCGUGUAGGCGGCCUGAAAGGUCAGCUGUGAAAACUCGAGGCUUAACCUCGAGACGUCGGUUGAAACCAUCUGGCUAGAGUCCGGAAGAGGAGUGUGGAAUUCCCGGUGUAGCGGUGAAAUGCGCAGAUAUCGGGAAGAACACCCGUGGCGAAGGCGGCACUCUGGGACGGUACUGACGCUGAGACGCGAAAGCGUGGGGAGCGAACAGG
rnacentral:rRNA from 1 species